rnacentral:rRNA from 1 species
GACGAACGCUGGCGGCGUGCCUAAUACAUGCAAGUUGAGCGAUGAAGAUUGGUGCUUGCACCAAUUUGAAGAGCAGCGAACGGGUGAGUAAUGCGUGGGGAAUCUGCCUUUGAGCGGGGGACAACAUUUGGAAACGAAUGCUAAUACCGCAUAAUAACUUUAAACAUAAGUUUUAAGUUUGAAAGAUGCAAUUGCAUCACUCAAAGAUGAUCCCGCGUUGUAUUAGCUAGUUGGUGAGGUAAAGGCUCACCAAGGCGAUGAUACAUAGCCGACCUGAGAGGGUGAUCGGCCACAUUGGGACUGAGACACGGCCCAAACUCCUACGGGAGGCAGCAGUAGGGAAUCUUCGGCAAUGGACGAAAGUCUGACCGAGCAACGCCGCGUGAGUGAAGAAGGUUUUCGGAUCGUAAAACUCUGUUGGUAGAGAAGAACGUUGGUGAGAGUGGAAAGCUCAUCAAGUGACGGUAACUACCCAGAAAGGGACGGCUAACUACGUG